rnacentral:rRNA from 1 species
UUGAACGCUGGUGGCAUGCCUUACACAUGCAAGUCGAACGGCAGCACGGGUGCUUGCACCUGGUGGCGAGUGGCGAACGGGUGAGUAAUACAUCGGAACAUGUCCUGUAGUGGGGGAUAGCCCGGCGAAAGCCGGAUUAAUACCGCAUACGAUCUACGGAUGAAAGCGGGGGACCUUCGGGCCUCGCGCUAUAGGGUUGGCCGAUGGCUGAUUAGCUAGUUGGUGGGGUAAAGGCCUACCAAGGCGACGAUCAGUAGCUGGUCUGAGAGGACGACCAGCCACACUGGGACUGAGACACGGCCCAGACUCCUACGGGAGGCAGCAGUGGGGAAUUUUGGACAAUGGGCGAAAGCCUGAUCCAGCAAUGCCGCGUGUGUGAAGAAGGCCUUCGGGUUGUAAAGCACUUUUGUCCGGAAAGAAAUCCUUGGCCCUAAUACGGUCGGGGGAUGACGGUACCGGAAGAAUAAGCACCGGCUAACUACGUG